UUUGACAUUAGAGAGAUGAGUUUCUCGAUUGGUCUCUCACUGGAUUGUCUCUGUGCAAGUUCAGUUUUCUCUUAAGACGAAGAAGAUAUCAGUGUUUACCCUUCAUGUAUUAAAAAAAAAUCAAAAGAAUUUUAUUUUUUGGGUAAGACAAAGUUAUAAGGCGAUUUGCAACGACUCUGCAACUUCUGCGCGACAAGGAACUAGGAAGCCAUGAGGAACGGGAGCUUAAACACUAAGCUCAAGCUCUCCCUACCUUCUCCAGAUGAGACUUUCAUCGCCCAAUUCCUGUAAAAAACUUUUUCUCUUGCUCUGUGUGAUUAUCUUCUCUGCAUUUCUAUGGUUUACUACAGUUGGGUGUUCGUACCAGAACGCAAAGUGGUACCUUUAGGGACGGCGAUCUGCUUGUCAACAAGGAUGGAGUUCGGGUUGUCCCAAAAAACGAAGCCGGCGAGCAUUCCAUUAUAAUGCCAUCGGACAACCAGUUGACCUUAGAUGACAUAGACACAAUUAAAGUAAUCGGAAAGGGUAAUGGUGGGAUCCUGCAAUUGGUGCAACACAAAUGGACUCAAAACAUGUCAGGUUUAACAAUAUCUUGCUCUCUCUGAAGUUACCUAUCUAUCUAACGACAACAAAAUCAUGCAAGACUGACAAGUGUUGAGCCUUGAAAAUAGGAUGAAAGAAAAGUGCUCCCUUUGGUUUACCUAUUAACUUACUCCUUAGUUUCGGAACUCAGAUUUGGAGAUGAGUUUAUGAGAGUACUUAUCAGAAGAAAGAUAAAUGAAGUGAAAAAGAAAGUUCCUACGCUGGUGACAGGGAUGUGGAUAUUGGAUCUUAAAUAUCAGCAACAUCUCAUGGAACCAAAUGCCUGGAAGUUGGAAUGAGACAACUUUCCUGCGAUUUCUAAGAGCUUAUCUUCUUACUUAUUUUGUUUUUUUUUUUUCUUACUUUAGGGUAAUCCAGGGUUUUUACCA